ensembl:lncRNA
CUGGGCUGCUGAGAUGGCGGCCGCCUCCCGAGGUGGAGAGAAGGCACGUUUCUGCUCCCAGAGGUGGGAAAUGUCGCUCAGGACGCAAUGCGGCGUUAUAUGAUAAACCACAUAUGAUACACCUGAUGGGAUUCAUCAGACUUGCUUGAGCUUGUCCAAAAAUGAAACAUCUGGUUGAAGAUAUUUUUUCAGCUUAUUCAGGGCUGAAAUGAAUCAUUGUCAAGAGGUACAUGCACCUCCAGCAGGUGAUUCAUCCCUUGCCAGGAGAAAGCACUCCUACCAGAAAUGCUGAUUCAUGAUGUUGAGAGAAGAUAGAAAUGACACAACUGAGGGGAAGAGGGAGAAGGAGUUCAGCUACACGUGUUGCUCCCCAGCCUCUAUCUCUGUCUGUUCAGCCUGUUCUCUGCUGCAUUCAGUAUCAGUAGGAUACAAGAGUGGCCAGAUGCUGGCCAAUGAGACUGUCUACAGAAAAGAUAAGUAGAUUAUACAUGAACCUACCAGUAUAUUUAUGACAGCUGUGUUACAUAUAGAUCUUUUGGAGACUAAAUUAUUACUACAGCUCUAGGGAUCAGUCACUCAGAAAAGGGACACUGCUGUUGCAGAAUGCUGUAGCUUUUGUAACAGGCUAUCAUUUGUCCCUUUAUAUUGAAACCCAUUUUUAGCCCACUUUAGAGUAGGAAAGCAGCUGUGGCAUUUGUGUGUUUUUUAUUGGCAGGCAGUUACUUCUUAAUGCUGAUGAGGUUAGAGGUUAAAAGCCAAAUAUCUGUUCAAUUCUAGCCAUCUAUUACAAAGCAGAAUUUAUAUACUGUGAAAUUUGGGUUGGCAGAAAUCAUUAAAAAAAAAAAGAAGAAGAAGAAGAAGAAGGGAAUUAAGCUGUAAAGGUGUGCCAACUCUCUUACAAGAACAGACUUAUCAUUUGUGGAAAAUACACCUACCAGAAGGCAUAGUAAAAAUGGUGGAAAAGUUACUUAAGCUGCCAGUUAUAAAAUAGCUACCUUCUGUCCAGAACUGUCCAUGCCAAAAAAGAUUUACCAGGAAAGAAAUCCCUGGAAAAGAGCACUUCUGUAGAAAGGACCAAAACAUUACAGAAGUUUUUUUUUUUUUUUUCUUUCUAUUUUACUUCUCAUGUACCUCAGUUAUGAAAAAAAAUCUCCAACAACAACAACAAAAAACUCAACAAUUUUUAAUUAAGUACAGAUGAAGAGCAGAGAGAUGUGCACCCUUCAGUAGAAGACUGAAAAGCACCCAGUGUUGAGAAAGUACCACUGAGGGACAUGGAGAUGAAACCAGCAUAGUCCAGAGUCUGUUCCAUGGCUCUCUUCUCCAGAAGUGAUUAGAUUCUGUUGCUUCAACAAGUCUGAGGGAGGUGUGUUCAAGAAAACUGAUGCAGACUUCAUUACUGGAAGCAAGUGUUGAUCAACUGAUACAGCAGACAGACAACAUUUCACUUGCAGAAUUGCAGUACAACAAAGAAGCUACAUCUUUCUGGUUAUUUUCAACAUUUCUUUUCUAAACAGAUGACUGGCAGAUGAUUUCUGCCUACUCUAUCUACAUCAAGCAGAGAAGUGUGGACACUGUUGAGAAUCCGCUGAUCUAAGCUCUGCAGAGCUCAUGCAGCUCUAUACAUUUAAUACAUUACCUGAUGCUGUCAGUGUAAUGACUCCCAUCACAUUUGCUCACCACUGGCUUGAUCACUAGCUUUAGCCUCAGGAAAAUUUAUUUUGGGAUUCCUUUUCUCUUCACUGCCAAUGGCCGUGACUGUAAUUGCUACUGGUGUCUGGAGAAGCACAAGGAAAUGCCACCUGUAAAGAUCUAUGGAGGUCAUAUAAUAUAAUCCUAAAAGCCAUCUAAGGAGUAGAGGACAGCAGCUAUACUGUCCAGAGGGCAGUACUGAUAUCUGGUUUGUAUAUUAAGCUAGAAGAUUCUUCCUGGAAAAGAAUUGUAUAAGGAGAAAGGGAACUGAAAUAUAGCCAUGGAGCAAAGUCUGAACAAAUCUAAUGAGAACUGCAAUUGCAUCCUUGGUGAGCAAGAUGGGUUACAGGUACUUGCUUCUCCUAAUGAAGAGGGAAUGCAAGAAGAUGGAGGUGAAAGAUCAGCAUGCCCAAGUACAGUAUCUACUGUUACACUGAUAAUAGCCACAGACAAUACUUUUCAACAUUCAAUACAUUCCCUCUUGGUAUUAGUUGAAAUAUAGUCAUUAAAGCAAAAUAUUUGUAUUUUAGCCUUACAGUUUAUGGCAUUUAUUUGCCUAGUGAAUAUUCUGAUUUUGUUGCAAUUAUAGCAUUUACAACCUGCUUUUCAGAAGAAGAAAGGAUUUCAAAUGUUUCUGAUAAUAAACAGAUUUGGAGCAUCAGCAUUUUUAGCUGGGCCUAUAUUACAGAGCUUGCAAUAGGGAUGCAACUACUCUCUCCUGCUAAUACUAUUUUGAAACACAUCUACUGUCAUUCUUUCUAAGUAACUAUUGUCAACUGUCAAACUCACCUGAACUGUAGUUCAUAGAAUCACAGAAUCAUAGAAUCAUAGAAUGGCCCAGGUAGAAAAGGACCAUACUGAUCAUCUAGUUUCAACCCCACUGCUGUGUGCAGAGUCACCAACCACUAGACCAGGCUGCCCAGAGCUACAUCCAGCCUGGCCCUAAAUGCCUCCGGGGAUGGGGCAUCCACAACAUCUCUGGGCAACCUGUUCCAGUGUGUCACCACCCUCUGUGUGAAAAUCUUCCUCCUAAUAUCUAACCUAAACCUCUCCUGUCUCAGUUUAAGACCAUGCCCCCUUGUCCUAUCACUAUCCACCCUCGUAAACAGCCAUUCCCCCUCCUGUUUAUACACUCCCUUCAAGUACUGGAAGGCCACUCUUAG